ACUAAUUAAAAGAUGACAAAUUUGGAUGGAGCAGAAAAGGUCCCUAUGGAAUAGAUUAGGGAGUGUUAAUAUACUUAAGUAGAAAGAAAACUUCUGUAGAAUUAGUGAUACAUGACUCAGAUAACUGUCAGGUUCUGUAAAGUUUGCUGCUCACACAUAACAACAUAGCUCACCCGUACCUUCAAUGCACUUAUUUCCUUCUAACUCCAUUGGGUGUGAUACUAAGACUGUCCAAGAUCAUCUAUCAUUUUGUUGGACUUCUUCACAGCCCCUCUGUUUCCUGGCUGAGUUAUUUAUGUAACAUUAUUCCACAUGGGAAAGCCCAGCUGUUAAAGUUUUAGAAUCAGGAAUAAGAACACAUUUUUAUUAGAUCCUUCAUCUUGUCUACAGUGGGUUUUCUUGGUUUAAAUAAUGAUAGCAGCAUACUAGCUCCUCGUUAUAACUCACUCCCCUGUAUGUGCUUUUGGAGAGGAAAAUGGCCUUUUCCUUCUUUUGGGGUUCCAGAAGGGGGGCUUAUAUCAAACUAAAUAUGAAAUCAAUGUGUGGGAUUGUAUAAUCACCUGUUGAGUUUGAACUCAUCCACCUGGGGUGGGCACUGCAGAGGUAAAAAUGAUAGAACUGUUAUAGAUUGGUGGUAGCAUGAGAGGUAUAUGAGAAAGGAAAAGGGGGAGUUAACAAGAUUAGAAAAUUUUAAGCAUAGAAGGAAAGUGGCACUGUUAAAAAACAAAAUAGGGGCACUGGCUUCUUUCUGCAAGACAUCCACAGUACCAAGGUCAAUGACAAGAACUGACACAGCUUCUACCCUUCCCUUCCCUUCCCUGUGGAUUUCAGGUCCAACAUUAGAAACAAAGACAAUAGUCUUACAGAGACUACUCUAUUAGCUCCUUUAAUUAUGUAAGGUCAAAUCCUUUGGAUGAGUUGGCCAGCCUUCUCUAUGGCUCAAAGCCCUGCAUGAUUUGGCUUAUUUUUUCUUUCCAACUUACUCCAUUCUUUGCCUCACUCAGUAUUAGUAACAUUAAAUAGCAUUCUUCAUGCUAGUUUUCUAUGAAUUUCUCCACCCCUUCAAGUCCCAAGCUCUUUCCUGUCUCUGCCACUUUGUUCAUGCUCUUCAUCUGCAGUAGAUCUUAGCCUAACCAUCAACUUCAUGGACUGGCAUUCCCUUACCACGCCAUCUAAACCGUCCUUCAGGUGUUACCUUCAGGGUUCUAGAGGUUGUGUAUGCUUAUCUAAUUAGCUAUUUGGUUAGUUGAUCUUUACUAGACUCUAGGUUCCAUGACAGCAACAGCUGUAUUUGUCUUAUUCCACAUUGUAUAUCCUGUCCUAGCACUGUCUGGCACACAGCCUGUUCUCAAAGGAUUCAUGUAGGGAUGAAAUGGGAGAUAUGGAGGACUCUACUUUGUGGGUUUGGAAUGAUAGAGGGAUUAAUUUUCUAUUCUUUGGCGGUGGGGAGGGAGGCAAGGAUUAUCCUGCAUUCUAGCCCAAUUUCUGUUCUUCUUGGCAGGUCAAACUAAGUGCCUAGGGAUUCGCUAAGUUGUCUACAUCGAAUUUGUUACAUGUUAAAAGAGUCAAUAAAGCUUCUUUGAAGAUGCUGGUCAUCUUCAGAAACACUUUUUAAAAAGCAAGCAAACUAUUUCUAUCAAAUAAAAUCAAGAUAAAUAUGAUCUUCUAUUCUUUCAGAAUCCAAAAGAAUGUUGUAUUCUAUUCUCUGUAACUUAAUUUCCAAGGUCAAAUCUUUUGGUAUUAUCCUGAGCCUCCAGAUCCCUUUUAACACUUCAUUACUGCAAAGAUUCUUUGAUGCUGGCCUUCUUGAAAUCCCUCAUGUCUAUUUUCUUACUUCUUUUUAUUUUUUUUCCAGUAUUUAGCCUAGCUAUAGAAAUAAAAAAAGUUGAGGUGGCUGAUAAAUUACAGGUUUUAGCACUUUGGGAACAAAUGCUACAUCCCUACACAUUUGCUUUUAGGCUACUUCCCUUGUCAAAGCUCAAACAGUAGUGUCUGGGUAUCACGCAGUUUCUGAAUGAGUGUUCUCAUCCUCCACAAAGUGUGUGUGAAGUAACUUACCCUUGUUUCCAAUAUUUAUGUUUUCUCCCUUGCCCUUGCCCUCCCUUCCACCCCUAGAUGAAUC
rnacentral:lncRNA from 10 species